UAGUGGCGAACGGGUGAGUAACACGUGGGCAAUCUGCCCUUCACUCUGGGACAAGCCCUGGAAAACGGGGUCUAAUACCGGAUAUCACUCCUGCAGGCAUCUGCGGGGGUCGAAAGCUCCGGCUGGUGAAGGAUGAGCCCGCGGCCUAUCAGCUUGUUGGUGAGGUAAUGGCUCACCAAGGCGACGACGGGUAGCCGGCCUGAGAGGGCGACCGGCCACACUGGGACUGAGACACGGCCCAGACUCCUACGGGAGGCAGCAGUGGGGAAUAUUGCACAAUGGGCGAAAGCCUGAUGCAGCGACGCCGCGUGAGGGAUGACGGCCUUCGCGUUGUAAACCUCUUUCAGNAGGGAAGANGCGAAAGUGACGGUACCUGCAGAAGAAGCGCCGGCUAACUACGUGCCAGCAGCCGCGGUAAUACGUAGGGCGCAAGCGUUGUCCGGAAUUAUUGGGCGUAAAGAGCUCGUAGGCGGCUUGUCACGUCGGGNUGUGAAAGCCCGGNGCUUAACCCCGGGUCUGCAUUCGAUACGGGCUAGCUAGAGUGUGGNAGGGGAGAUCGGAAUUNCU
rnacentral:rRNA from 1 species